CAAUUCAAUACCAACAAUUAAUAAUAAGCAGAAUGCAACAGUUUCAAUAUUUUAAGAAUAAAAUAUUAAUGCUCAAUUAACCUAGAAUAAAACAUUAUUUAAUUAAUGCAGGAAAAAUUAAAUAAGGGUAAGAGACAAAACCGAGCAAUUCACACAAAAUUGCAAACGAAAGUUCCUCCGACGGCUGCUCCGGCGGUCGUCGAUUUUCCGG
rnacentral:lncRNA from 1 species